rnacentral:rRNA from 1 species
AAAUUGAAGAGUUUGAUCAUGGCUCAGAUUGAACGCUGGCGGCAGGCCUAACACAUGCAAGUCGAACGGUAACAGGGAACAGCUUGCUG